UACGGGGGGGGCAAGCGUUGUUCGGAAUUACUGGGCGUAAAGAGUUCGUAGGCGGUGCGGCAAGUUCGGUGUGAAAUCUCCCGGCUCAACUGGGAGGGUGCGCUAAAUACUGCCGUGCUCGAGUAUAGGAGAGGUAAGCGGAAUUCCUGGUGUAGCGGUGAAAUGCGUAGAUAUCAGGAGGAACACCUGUGGUGUAGACGGCUUACUGGACUAUAACUGACGCUGAGGACCGAAAGCGUGGGUAGCAAACAGG
rnacentral:rRNA from 1 species